GAUGAACGCUGGCGGCGUGCCUAACACAUGCAAGUCGAGCGAAGCGGUUUUAAGGAAGUUUUCGGAUGGAAUUAAAACUGACUGAGCGGCGGACGGGUGAGUAACGCGUGGGUAACCUGCCUCAUACAGGGGGAUAACAGUUAGAAAUGGCUGCUAAUACCGCAUAAGCACACAGCUUCGCAUGGAGCGGUGUGAAAAACUCCGGUGGUAUGAGAUGGACCCGCGUCUGAUUAGCUAGUUGGUAAGGUAACGGCUUACCAAGGCGACGAUCAGUAGCCGACCUGAGAGGGUGACCGGCCACAUUGGGACUGAGACACGGCCCAAACUCCUACGGGAGGCAGCAGUGGGGAAUAUUGCACAAUGGGGGAAACCCUGAUGCAGCGACGCCGCGUGAGUGAAGAAGUAUCUCGGUAUGUAAAGCUCUAUCAGCAGGGAAGAAAAUGACGGUAC
rnacentral:rRNA from 1 species